CCCGCGGCACCCGAGGCCUCAGGCCUCUGAGCCCAGCCUAUUACUUGAGAAAGGGAAGCCAGGGGCGGGGUGCGGGGCUGGGGCAGGGUCAAAGGACGGGGGAGCUGCGGGACCCCGGCCGGAGAAGGGAGGUGACGGGGAGCCGGGCGCCCGCCCCCGACACCCCUGCCCGCCGCGGCCACAGACGGGCCCCACGGCCUCCACCCGGCCAGGCCUGCGCCCAGGACUCCCGGGACGAGUCCCCGCAGAAGCUGCGGCGGAGGCUCCCAGGACCUCCAGCCCCGGCCCGAAGGAGCCUCCGCGGGCACCUGCCGGCCCUGCACCGGGCGCUCCACCUGCGGGGCCGGGGCCGGUCCGGGAGGCGCCGCGGGAGCCAGGAUCCGGAUGGCUCUAGAAUUUGGAGUAGCCAUUCUGUGUCGUCCCUGGAAGCCAUCACACUGGGGUGCUUACAGCCCCCCUGUCCCCCACGCCACCCCAGCUGGCCGUGCCCCUGCUGCAAGGACAUGCUCAGGCCUCCUUGGAGCAGCAGCAACAGCGGUGUUUCCGCGUCUAAUCAGUGGUCAGUGUAGGCGUUCCAGCUCCUCAGCCCGUGCCGGCCUGAAGCGACCAAAGCGACUCGCGCGAGCUCUAGCUCCGUGACCUCUUGUCAUCCCCGCUGAAAGACGGCAAGGUACACGGACAUCACUCAAAGUUCCUUUCACUUCCACAGACAUUGACUGAGCACCUACUGUGUUCCAGGCUCUGGGCCAGUGCUGGGAACAUAAGGCAUCAAAUAAUCCCAAAUCAGGAGUUUUUAUUUAGCCUUUGGAAAGGGUUAUGUGGGUUGCUUUUUUUUUUUUUUUUUUUUUGCAGCUACAGCAAAUUUACUUUUCUAAUGAGGUUCAGCUCCAGCCAAUAUGAAAAUGAGUCUGCGCUCGCUGUGCACACCAGCUGACAGCAGGGCGGGCAGCCUCCCAGCCAAGUGCCUGGCAGGGAUUAGGGUUUCGCCACCAACAGGCCCAAAAGUGGAGGGUCUCUGCGGAUCCCCAGGAGCUGGCUCGUGUUGGCGUAAAGCUUGCCACGAGGCUGUGUAGGUUCAGCAGGUACUAGGGCCACGGGCUGGGCUUCUGUCUCCUCGUUUGUGGGAACUAUGAGCCGUUGCCAUCCCUUUGUGGGGGAAGAAGGCUGGCGGGAGCAGAGACACGGCAGUGUGGCUCUGGGCACCUGAGGUGGAGGGUGGGACGCGGCCCCGCCUUGGGGCCACCCUCUGCGACCGGUGCAUGUGGCUGAGCCCCGUCACUUCUCCCCAUGCGGCUUCCUUCCCCACGAGGCAGCUGGGCGCUCUGGCCUCCGAGGCCGUGCGUCUCUGUAGCAAGACCCUGGGCUGCCCGUUUGACCAUCGCCCAGAGCCCAGGAGAUGUGGGGCGGGCUCUCUCCACCUUUCAGGAGCUCAGUCUGCACAUGCAGUAGUGGCCACAGCGUCAGUGUCCCCGAACCACAGCAAGUCCUUCUAAAGCGCCGUUCUGGACUCGCUGCCGCUGGUUGAGCCUUGGGCUCGGAGCGCAGACCCUGGAGCCUGCCUGGCUACGCUCACACGCGGCUCUGCUUCUCGGUGGUUGUGUGGCCUUGGGACGGGACUUGACCUGUGCCUCGGGCUUCUCGUCUCUAGGAUGGGGCUAAUACCGGGAGGUUUAAGGGGAGAAUGAGUCCGUACAGUUCAUCGUGAGGACCAAGUGCUUUGCCUACCGAUUCCUGUUCCUCGAUGUAACCUGAACGCUGAGCAGCUGUGCGUGGCUCGCUGCAGGGGCCGGGCCGGCGGUCAUCAGCUCGGGCCCUUGCUCCCGUGCCUGGCUCCUCACCUGUGGAGGAACGGUGGCCGGAGAAUAACCCCUGCACCACUCGGCUGCCGAGGGGCAGUGAGGCGAGGACUGUGUCCUCCUUGGCCCGUGACACGUCCCGACAAAGAGGGGCUCACGUUUCUGGAAGUGGAUAUGACUUAAAUUCUCUUUUUAUCGCAACCGAAAAGCAUCCCGAAGCCCCCACCCCCAUAAGUUUAAAAUAAAAGGGGCGAACACGGUCCCA
rnacentral:lncRNA from 12 species